rnacentral:rRNA from 1 species
AGUGAACGCUGGCGGCAGGCCUAACACAUGCAAGUCGAGCGGCAGCGCGGGGAGAUCGCUCUCGUACCGUUGGCGACGGGCGGGGGAGUGAGGGGUACAUCACCAUCUACUUUGUCUGGGGUAAUAACGGAUAAACACAUACGCUAAUAGCUCAUAGGACGAACGGGUGGGAGCACUAGGUCUUGAGACCUUUGAUGAGUCAAUGAGCCGAUGCCGCAUUAGCUAGUUGGUGGGGUAACGGCCCACCAAGGCGACGAUCCGUAGCUGGUCUGAGAGGAUGAUCAGCCACACUGGAACUGAGACACGGUCCAGACUCCUACGGGAGGCAGCAGUGGGGAAUAUUGGACAAUGGGCGCAAGCCUGAUCCAGCAAUGCCGCGUGGGUGAAGAAGGCCUUCGGGUUGUAAAGCACUUUUGUUGGGAAAGAAAAGAAGUGUGCUAAUACCUGCAUGUUAUGACGGUACCUAAAGAAUAAGCACCGGCUAACUUCGUG